UGGACAGAUUAUUAUAUUCGACUGUAUUCACGGCGUGAAAUAGGGGAUUACACCGUUUUUAAAACGGAAAGUGAAUCAAUUAACAUAAUAGACUCCU
rfam:Nicotiana attenuata strain TT chromosome 6, whole genome shotgun sequence.